AUUGAACGCUGGCGGCGGGCCUAACACAUGCAAGUCGAGCGGUAGAGAGAAGCUUGCUUCUCUUGAGAGCGGCGGACGGGUGAGUAAUGCCUAGGAAUCUGCCUGGUAGUGGGGGAUAACGUUCGGAAACGGACGCUAAUACCGCAUACGUCCUACGGGAGAAAGCAGGGGACCUUCGGGCCUUGCGCUAUCAGAUGAGCCUAGGUCGGAUUAGCUAGUUGGUGGGGUAAUGGCUCACCAAGGCGACGAUCCGUAACUGGUCUGAGAGGAUGAUCAGUCACACUGGAACUGAGACACGGUCCAGACUCCUACGGGAGGCAGCAGUGGGGAAUAUUGGACAAUGGGCGAAAGCCUGAUCCAGCCAUGCCGCGUGUGUGAAGAAGGUCUUCGGAUUGUAAAGCACUUUAAGUUGGGAGGAAGGGUUGUAGAUUAAUACUCUGCAAUUUUGACGUUACCGACAGAAUAAGCACCGGCUAA
rnacentral:rRNA from 1 species